AAUAGAUACCCUGGUAGUCCACGCCCUAAACGAUGAUAACUCGAUGUUUGCGAUACACAGUAAGCGUCUUAGCGAAAGCGUUAAGUUAUCCACCUGGGGAGUACGGUCGCAAGAUUGAAACUCAAAGGAAUUGACGGGGGGCCCGCACAAGCGGAGGAGCAUGUGGUUUAAUUCGAUGAUACGCGAGGAACCUUACCCGGGCUUGAAAGUUAGUGAAUGAGACAGAGACGUCUCAGUCCUUCGGGACACGAAACUAGGUGCUGCAUGGCUGUCGUCAGCUCGUGCCGUGAGGUGUUGGGUUAAGUCCCGCAACGUAGCGCAACCCCUAUGUUUAGUUGCCAGCAUGUAAUGAUGGGGACUCUAAACAGACUGCCUGUGCAAACAGAGAGGAAGGUGGGGACGACGUCAAGUCAUCAUGGCCCUUACGUCCGGGGCUACACACGUGCUACAAUGGAUGGUACAGCGGGCAGCUACAUAGCAAUAUGAUGCUAAUCUCUAAAAGCCAUUCACAGUUCGGU
rnacentral:rRNA from 1 species